rnacentral:tRNA from 1 species
UUUUUAGUUUUUUUUUUAGAAUUUUUAAUUGUGGUUUAAAAGGUGAGUAAAGCUUU